AUGGCGCGGUGGCCAGCCGCCGCCGUGGCGUGUGCGCUCGGGGCGGCCCUCCUGGGCAUGCUGGCGGUCACCGCUGACGAGCAAGGUAGCAACAGCAAGUUCACGUGCACGGACACGGAGAAGAAGCGGCCGGGGUGCACGGGCACCUGCCCCGACAGGUGCCCCCAGAGCUGCAUCUCGCUCUGCCCCUCGUGCCAGACAUAUUGCCCUGACCAAGUGCAACCAGUGCGGCCGGCGCUCUUUGUGUUCGGAGACGGGUUUACGGACGUCGGCAACAACAACUACCUAGAGAACAACGAAGUAGGGAACCCUGUAAGAGCCAAUCACUCUUACUAUGGCAUAGACUUCCCCAAUUCCGUGGCCACCGGAAGAUUCAGCAACGGAUUCAACUUGGCUGACUUCAUCGCAAAGGCCAUGGGAUUCGAGAUGAGCCCUCCGCCUUAUCUGUCUCUUAAUAGUCCCACAAAAAUGGAUGCCGGUUUUGCUGGAGUCAACUAUGCUUCGGCGACUUCUGGGAUUUGGAGAGACAUCGACACCGGACUGGACAUCCCACUGAUGGACCAAGUGAAGAACUUCGCGGACACGAUAGGGCAGAUGGGUGCCAACCGUAGCCAGCAAGACCUGAGCAAGAUGUUGUCCAAUUCCCUCUUCCUCGUCAGCACCGGCACCACUGACCUCUACUCAAUCUACAACAUCAACAACAAUGGGGGCUCAGACACUAAAACCAAUGUCCCACACCUCAUCUCCUCCUACGGGGACAGCCUCACGGCCCUGUACAACUUGGGCGCGAGGAAGUUCGGUAUCAUCAACGUUCCGACCUUGUGCACGGCGGUGGUGCGCCAUGGCUGCGAGGGCCUCAUUACCAGCCUCCGCGUGGAGUUCAACGACGGCAUCAAGCCACUCAUGGCCGGCCUCGCCUCCAACCUCAGUGGCCUCCGCUACUCCAUCGCCGACUUCCACGCCUUCUCGGAUGCAGUCAACAUGAAUCCAUCGGCCUACGGGUUUGUGAACACCGGGGGCGCGUGCUGCCAAGGCUCCUGCGCACCUGGUUCUGGGCUGCCGUGUGCCAACCGCUCGCAGUACUGGUAUUGGGACGAGGAGUACCCGACGGAGCAGGCCGCUAAGCUGGCCGCAUCUGCGUUUUUCAAUGGCACAACCCAAUUCACAACACCGAUGAACUUCAAGAUGUUGAUCAACCAAAAGUGA
rnacentral:rRNA from 1 species